GCCCUUGUGGCGUAAUGGCUAACGCGUCUGACUUCUAAUCAGAAGAUUCCCGGUUCGAGCCCGGGCUAGGGCU